GACAACGCGGGAAGCUUUGACGCACGGUCCCCAACCCGGUCGCCUUUGGACCGUGCCGAGCGAGUGGCGAGACCGCCCCGCGAUCGG
rnacentral:ncRNA from 1 species